rnacentral:lncRNA from 14 species
CCUCUGUUAAGCUGGAAAACUUCUCAUUCUUAACUGGAAUCUUCGCUGAGCAGGGCACACUGACACGUUGGUUCUCGUUUGGGAUUAGAACUGGAAGCCUUGAAGCAGCGCUUCUGGAGGCAUGCUAACCCAGCAGCCAGUCCCAGGGCGCAUCAGACGCUGAAUGUGAACAUCAUCGUGAAGGACUUGGGCACUGACGGGAAGGAGGAGCUGAAGGCAGAAGUGGUGCCCGUCACUUUGGCAGCAGAGAAGCUGGAAGGAGCGAGCCACACAAAACCAGGUGAAAAACUGCAGAUGUUAAAAGCUAAGUUGCAGGAGGCAAUGAAACUCCGAAGGCUCGAGGAGCGGCAGAAGCGCCAAGCGUUGUUUAAAUUAGAUAAUGAAGAUGGAUUUGAAGAGGAGGAGGAAGAGGAAGAAAUGACAGAUGAGUCUGAGGAAGAUGGAGAAGAGGAAGAAGAGGAG